rnacentral:rRNA from 1 species
AUACGGAGGGUGCGAGCGUUAAUCGGAAUUACUGGGCGUAAAGCGUACGUAGGCGGUUUGCUAAGUCAGAUGUGAAAGCCCCGGGCUUAACCUGGGAACUGCAUUUGAUACUGGCAGACUAGAGUAUGAUAGAGGGGGGUAGAAUUCCUGGUGUAGCGGUGAAAUGCGUAGAUAUCAGGAGGAAUACCAGUGGCGAAGGCGGCCCCCUGGACCAAUACUGACGCUGAGGUACGAAAGCGUGGGGAGCGAACAGGAUUAGAAACCCUAGUAGUCC